CUGAAUAGAUGUUGUAAAUAAAACUCAUGUUUGUUUCAUGCGACUUACUUACUUUCAUUCUUUCUUCAUCUUCUUACCCUUCCAUCAUUCUUCUCACUUUAUCCGAUAUCCUUCAAUCUUCCAACAAAGCGAACAACACUUAUGAUAAAAGCAGAGACAAAUCUGGGUAAAAAAGGAUAUAUGGCGACUUCUCAUAAUGGCUCCUCAAACUUUUU
ensembl:ncRNA F58B4.9 ncRNA